rnacentral:rRNA from 1 species
CCUACGGGAGGCAGCAGUAAGGAAUAUUGGUCAAUGGAGGCAACUCUGAACCAGCCAUGCCGCGUGCAGGAAGACGGCCCUAUGGGUUGUAAACUGCUUUUAUCUGGGAAUAAACCUAUUUACGUGUAAGUAGCUGAAUGUACCAGAAGAAUAAGGAUCGGCUAACUCCGUGCCAGCAGCCGCGGUAAUACGGAGGAUCCAAGCGUUAUCCGGAUUUAUUGGGUUUAAAGGGUGCGUAGGCAGCAGUUUAAGUCAGAGGUGAAAGACGGUAGCUCAACUAUCGCAGUGCCUUUGAUACUGAAUUGCUUGAAUGAACUAGAGGUAGGCGGAAUGAGACAAGUAGCGGUGAAAUGCAUAGAUAUGUCUCAGAACACCGAUUGCGAAGGCAGCUUACUAUGGUUUUAUUGACGCUGAGGCACGAAAGCGUGGGGAUCAAACAGGAUUAGAUACCCUGGUAGUCCACGCCCUAAACGAUGAAUACUCGCUGUUAAGUCGAUAUACUAGUUAGUCGGCGUAGACGAAAGACGUUAAGUUAAGUUACCUACCGUAACGGGUAGGUACGUUCGUUCGUCGAAGAGUAGAACGUUACGAAUAGAAGUUAGAGGACGNGAGAGAGCGACGGACGACGACGAGGGAGGAGGAG